GACUACUGUGGACGAAGAGCACAACUACUUCCAGUCUCUGGUCGAUAAGUACCCAAGGAAGAGUUGCAGUGGGUAAAUCUUAAUGGCUGGCAGAAAAUUGGUUCGGGAUAUAUUACUCUCAAGACAAAGUAUUUUUUAUCAGUUUACUUCCA